rnacentral:sRNA from 1 species
GAGGAAAAGAAACCAACAGGGAUUGCCUCAGUAACGGCGAGUGAAGCGGCAACAGCUCAAAUUUGAAAUCUGGCCUCCCGGGGUCCGAGUUGUAAUUUGUAGAGGAUGUUUUGGGUACCGCCCCGGUUUAAAUUUCUUGGAACAGAAUGUCAGAGAGGGUGAGAAUCCCGUCUUGGACCGGUGGUAGGGCCUGUGUAAAACUCCUUCGACGAGUCGAGUUGUUUGGGAAUGCAGCUCAAAAUGGGUGGUAAAUUUCAUCUAAAGCUAAAUAUUGGCCAGAGACCGAUAGCGCACAAGUAGAGUGAUCGAAAGAUGAAAAGAACUUUGAAAAGAGAGUUAAACAGUAUGUGAAAUUGUUGAAAGGGAAGCGCUUGCAACCAGACUUGAGCGCGACGGUUCCCCUAGCCUUUUGGCUAGGUUACUCCGUCGUGUCCAGGCCAACAUCGGUUCUGAGGGUCGGUCAAAGGCUCUGGGAAUGUAUCUACCCACGGGUAGACUUAUAGACCAGGGUGUCAUGCGACCUCUCGGGACCGAGGAACGCGCUUCGGCUCGGAUGUUGGCGUAAUGGUUGUCAGCGACCCGUCUUGAAACACGGACC